rnacentral:rRNA from 1 species
UACGUAGGGACCGAGCGUUGUCCGGAAUCAUUGGGCGUAAAGAGCGUGUAGGCGGCCUUUUAAGUCCUGCGUGAAAUCCUGCGGCUCAACCGCAGACGGUCGUGGGAAACUGGAAGGCUAGAGUGCGGGAGAGGAGAGUGGAAUUCCCGGUGUAGCGGUGAAAUGCGUAGAUAUCAGGAGGAACACCGGUGGUGUAGACGGCUCACUGGACCGUAACUGACGCUGAGACACGAAAGCGUGGGUAGCAAACAGG